rnacentral:tRNA from 1 species
UCCCUGCUGGCUCAGUCAGUAAAGAAUCUGCCUGCGGUGCAUGAGACUCAGGUUCGAUCCCUGGGUUGGGAA